CUGACACGUGUGCGAGUACCCGGGUGGCAAGCCCGCGUGCGGAAUGAAAGUGAAGGGCAUGCCCUGCCAACCGACCUUGACCUGCUGUGAGGGGUUUUAGUGGAGCACACCUGUCGGGACCCGAAAGAUGGUGAACUAUGCCUGGGUAGGGUGAAGCCAGAGGAAACUCUGGUGGAGGCUCGUAGCGAUACUGACGUGCAAAUCGUUCGUCGAAUCUGGGUAUAGGGGCGAAAGACUAAUCGAACCAUCUAGUAGCUGG
rnacentral:ncRNA from 1 species